rnacentral:rRNA from 1 species
GAUGAACGCUAGCGGCAGGCCUAAUACAUGCAAGUCGAACGGUAAGGCCCUUUCGGGGGUACACGAGUGGCGGACGGGUGCGUAACGCGUAUGCAACAUGCCUUCCAGCGGGGGAUAUACCAGGGAAACUUGGCGCAAUACCCCAUAGAAUUACGGGACCGCAUGGUCUUGUGAUUAAAACUCCGGUGCUGGGAGAUUGGCAUGCGUGACAUUAGCUAGUUGGUGAGGUAAAGGCUCACCAAGGCGACGAUCUGUAGCGGGUCUGAGAGGAUGAUCCGCCACACUGGGACUGAGACACGGCCCAGACUCCUACGGGAGGCAGCAGUGGGGAAUUUUGGACAAUGGGCGCAAGCCUGAUCCAGCCAUGCCGCGUGAGUGAAGAA